GGGCCGUUAGCUCAACUGGCAGAGCGGCGGACUCUUAAUCCGUAGGCUGCAGGUUCAAGUCCUGCACGGCCCA
rnacentral:tRNA from 1 species